AUGAACGCUGGCGGCGUGCCUAAUCCAUGCAAGUCGAGCGAACAGACGAGGAGCUUGCUCCUCUGACGUUAGCGGCGGACGGGUGAGUAACACGUGGAUAACCUACCUAUAAGACUGGGAUAACUUCGGGAAACCGGAGCUAAUACCGGAUAAUAUAUUGAACCGCAUGGUUCAAUAGUGAAAGACGGUUUUGCUGUCACUUAUAGAUGGAUCCGCGCCGCAUAAGCUAGUUGGUAAGGUAACGGCUUACCAAGGCAACGAUGCGUAGCCGACCUGAGAGGGUGAUCGGCCACACUGGAACUGAGACACGGUCCAGACUCCUACGGGAGGCAGCAGUAGGGAAUCUUCCGCAAUGGGCGAAAGCUUGACGGAGCAACGCCGCGUGAGUGAUGAAGGUCUUCGGAUCGUAAAACUCUGUUAUUAGGGAAGAACAAAUGUGUAAGUAACUAUGCACGUCUUGACGGUACCUAAUCAGAAAGCCACGGCUAACUACGUG
rnacentral:rRNA from 1 species